UGUAUAAUGGGUCAGCGACUUAUAUUCUGUAGCAAGGUUAACCGAAUAGGGGAGCCGAAGGGAAACCGAGUCUUAACUGGGCGUUAAGUUGCAGGGUAUAGACCCGAAACCCGGUGAUCUAGCCAUGGGCAGGUUGAAGGUUGGGUAACACUAACUGGAGGACCGAACCGACUAAUGUUGAAAAAUUAGCGGAUGACUUGUGGCUGGGGGUGAAAGGCCAAUCAAACCGGGAGAUAGCUGGUUCUCCCCGAAAGCUAUUUAGGUAGCGCCUCGUGAACUCAUCUCCGGGGGUAGAGCACUGUUUCGGCAAGGGGGUCAUCCCGACUUACCAACCCGAUGCAAACUGCGAAUACCGGAGAAUGUUAUCACGGGAGACACACGGCGGGUGCUAACGUCCGUCGUGAAGAGGGAAACAACCCAGACCGCCAGCUAAGGUCCCAAAGUCAUGGUUAAGUGGGAAACGAUGUGGGAAGGCCCAGACAGCCAGGAUGUUGGCUUAGAAGCAGCCAUCAUUUAAAGAAAGCGUAAUAGCUCACUGGUCGAGUCGGCCUGCGCGGAAGAUGUAACGGGGCUAAACCAUGCACCGAAGCUGCGGCAGCGACACUGUGUGUUGUUGGGUAGGGGAGCGUUCUGUAAGCCUGUGAAGGUGUACUGUGAGGUAUGCUGGAGGUAUCAGAAGUGCGAAUGCUGACAUAAGUAACGAUAAAGCGGGUGAAAAGCCCGCUCGCCGGAAGACCAAGGGUUCCUGUCCAACGUUAAUCGGGGCAGGGUGAGUCGACCCCUAAGGCGAGGCCGAAAGGCGUAGUCGAUGGGAAACAGGUUAAUAUUCCUGUACUUGGUGUUACUGCGAAGGGGGGACGGAGAAGGCUAUGUUGGCCGGGCGACGGUUGUCCCGGUUUAAGCGUGUAGGCUGGUUUUCCAGGCAAAUCCGGAAAAUCAAGGCUGAGGCGUGAUGACGAGGCACUACGGUGCUGAAGCAACAAAUGCCCUGCUUCCAGGAAAAGCCUCUAAGCAUCAGGUAACAUCAAAUCGUACCCCAAACCGACACAGGUGGUCAGGUAGAGAAUACCAAGGCGCUUGAGAGAACUCGGGUGAAGGAACUAGGCAAAAUGGUGCCGUAACUUCGGGAGAAGGCACGCUGAUAUGUAGGUGAAGCGACUUGCUCGUGGAGCUGAAAUCAGUCGAAGAUACCAGCUGGCUGCAACUGUUUAUUAAAAACACAGCACUGUGCAAACACGAAAGUGGACGUAUACGGUGUGACGCCUGCCCGGUGCCGGAAGGUUAAUUGAUGGGGUUAGCGCAAGCGAAGCUCUUGAUCGAAGCCCCGGUAAACGGCGGCCGUAACUAUAACGGUCCUAAGGUAGCGAAAUUCCUUGUCGGGUAAGUUCCGACCUGCACGAAUGGCGUAAUGAUGGCCAGGCUGUCUCCACCCGAGACUCAGUGAAAUUGAACUCGCUGUGAAGAUGCAGUGUACCCGCGGCAAGACGGAAAGACCCCGUGAACCUUUACUAUAGCUUGACACUGAACAUUGAGCCUUGAUGUGUAGGAUAGGUGGGAGGCUUUGAAGUGUGGACGCCAGUCUGCAUGGAGCCGACCUUGAAAUACCACCCUUUAAUGUUUGAUGUUCUAACGUGGACCCGUGAUCCGGGUUGCGGACAGUGUCUGGUGGGUAGUUUGACUGGGGCGGUCUCCUCCUAAAGAGUAACGGAGGAGCACGAAGGUUGGCUAAUCCUGGUCGGACAUCAGGAGGUUAGUGCAAUGGCAUAAGCCAGCUUGACUGCGAGCGUGACGGCGCGAGCAGGUGCGAAAGCAGGUCAUAGUGAUCCGGUGGUUCUGAAUGGAAGGGCCAUCGCUCAACGGAUAAAAGGUACUCCGGGGAUAACAGGCUGAUACCGCCCAAGAGUUCAUAUCGACGGCGGUGUUUGGCACCUCGAUGUCGGCUCAUCACAUCCUGGGGCUGAAGUAGGUCCCAAGGGUAUGGCUGUUCGCCAUUUAAAGUGGUACGCGAGCUGGGUUUAGAACGUCGUGAGACAGUUCGGUCCCUAUCUGCCGUGGGCGCUGGAGAACUGAGGGGGGCUGCUCCUAGUACGAGAGGACCGGAGUGGACGCAUCACUGGUGUUCGGGUUGUCAUGCCAAUGGCACUGCCCGGUAGCUAAAUGCGGAAGAGAUAAGUGCUGAAAGCAUCUAAGCACGAAACUUGCCCCGAGAUGAGUUCUCCCUGACCCUUUAAGGGUCCUGAAGGAACGUUGAAGACGACGACGUUGAUAGGCCGGGUGUGUAAGCGCAGCGAUGCGUUGAGCUAACCGGUACUAAUGAACCGUGAG
rnacentral:rRNA from 1 species